GAUGAACGCUGGCGGCGUGCCUAAUACAUGCAAGUCGAGCGAACAGACGAGGAGCUUGCUCCUCUGACGUUAGCGGCGGACGGGUGAGUAACACGUGGAUAACCUACCUAUAAGACUGGGAUAACUUCGGGAAACCGGAGCUAAUACCGGAUAAUAUAUUGAACCGCAUGGUUCAAUAGUGAAAGACGGUUUUGCUGUCACUUAUAGAUGGAUCCGCGCCGCAUUAGCUAGUUGGUAAGGUAACGGCUUACCAAGGCAACGAUGCGUAGCCGACCUGAGAGGGUGAUCGGCCACACUGGAACUGAGACACGGUCCAGACUCCUACGGGAGGCAGCAGUAGGGACUCUUCCGCAAUGGGCGAAAGCCUGACGGAGCAACGCCGCGUGAGUGAUGAAGGUCUUCGGAUCGUAAAACUCUGUUAUUAGGGAAGAACAAAUGUGUAAGUAACUAUGCACGUCUUGACGGUACCUAAUCAGAAGGCCACGGCUAACUACGUG
rnacentral:rRNA from 1 species